CGGUACCUACGGGGGGCAGCAGUGAGGAAUAUUGGUCGAUGGGCGGGAGCCUGAACCAGCCAAGCCGCGUGAGGGAAGAAGGUACAGCGUAUCGUAAACCUCUUUUGUCAGGGAACAAAGGCGGGGACUAGUCCCCGGAUGAGGGUACCUGAAGAAAAAGCAUCGGCUAACUCCGUGCCAGCAGCCGCGGUAAUACGGAGGAUGCGAGCGUUAUCCGGAUUUAUUGGGUUUAAGGGUGCGCAGGCGGCCUGUUAAGGCAGCGGUAAAAGCCCGGGGCCAAACCCCGG
rnacentral:rRNA from 1 species